rnacentral:lncRNA from 1 species
CAUCUAUACUUUUCACUAAAAAAUAUUAAAGUGUAAUAUAAUAAGCAAGAUGUACUUAUCUUUUAGUUAUGUGUUGUUUCGAAUCUGCAACUUGUCUCUCCUGCUACUGGUUCUCUCUUCCUCUCAUUGUUUCUCCUUCUGUAGUCUCAAUUUUGAAAUUUAAGUUUUAAAUAAUUUUGAAUGAAUUUUGCCAACCUACAUUCUAGCUAUGCAGUUUCAGAAUCUCAUUUGUAUCAUGCCUCGGGUCAAUCCACCAUAUCUGUCACCAAGGUCCACUCCAGAGCACUGUUAGAUAAGGGGGAGCUAACUCGUAUGUGCUGGAACCAAGGGACAGGGGUCAGUCUAUCGCUAGACUUAAUGUUCUGAUAGGCAUAGCUAAAACGCAAGGAAGGUUUUCAUAAUUUAAUUAACGAUAACGAUUUAAAUGAAUGAUAACAAAUCAAUCAAUAAACAAUGCCAAAUAAUAAUAAUCUAAUUAAAGUACAAAGUAUCAAUUCAAAAUAACAAAUCCAAAGUAAAACUAUUUCUCUUUAAAAUGUAAAAUAUAAAAUAAAUGCCAAAAUUACUAAAUCAUAAAAUGUACUUAAUCUCAAUUUCAGAAUGUAAAAGUCUCAAAAUAAAAGUUUCUCAAAAGUAUAAUUUUCUAAAGUUAAAUUAUGAGUCAGAGAUAAAUUUUGUCUCACACUACACAGUCAACUGGUAGACUGGUAGACAGUCUUAUAGGUCCAGUAUAAUGACAUGAGUAGUGUGAGGUUACGCUUCCGAAACACUGACUGCCUUUCCAAAAUUUCACAACAAUAUUUAUACUAAAAUCUAAAAUAAAUAAAUAUGUCUCGACACGUUAAUAAUACUCUCAUUAGCAAAAAAUAAACAUUAAUUAACAAAGCCUAAUCCUAUAAUGUUUUGAUAAAAUCUUAAACUUUCAAAGUGAC